UGAGCGUUGCGGACGUGUGCUGAUCUGAACGCGGGCGUCAAUCGGAUAUUAGAGAGUAAAAUACCAAGGCAAAAAGAGGCAAUAUUCAAUAAAAUCACAAGUACAUAGUACACAGCCGUAAGCAAUUGGUUAACUGGCGCUGCGGAAUAAAAAUUAAAAGAAAUUUUCUUUGGUAAACAAAUAAAUUGCAGCAAUUAAAAUAUAAAUAAAUCCAUCAUAAGCAAAAGCAAACGAUUGUGUAAGUAAGCGGCUGUAAGUGAAAACUUUGUUGGCCGGUUCCAUUGUGUAGCAUUCUUUUCACGCUGUUCGCCAAUUGGCUGUUUGCGCUGUUUCCAACUGUGCGUAUGACUGACUGGCUGGCCGAUUGUGGAACGUACGCCAUAAUUUAUUGUAAAAUUCAGUGAUUUUUGUUGCUCUGCCCAUUUCGUGUCACAAACCAGUUUUCGGUACUGUGUGUGUGUUGCAAAUUGUGCGCCAAAAUUUUGUUUUUUUUUUUUGCUUUCGAAUGCUAAGCACUGAGUGUGAGGUUUAUUUGUGCACCGCCGGCAUUUCGUGUGAACUUAACGCAAAUCGUGAUGAUUUGAGCACUGGCUAUGAUUGCAGUGACCUGUGUCUAGACGUUCAUUGUUGAUCGUGAUAAAGAAAACAAGAAAUUUCGUUAAACAUUUCAAUAAAAAAUCCAUUCAAAAUAAGGAAAACCGUGUAGUGAUAAGACCUCAUGACCAAAAAUUAAAAAUUAUUAUAUUGGAAAAUUGUAGAGAAGGAAAAAAUUAUGCAGGCGCCUACAGCUGACAAGUUAUGAUAAAACAAAAAAAUCCAAAUAGCCAAUUGAUGGUACAAUAACCACAACAAAGUAAAAAAUUCGCGCUAAAAAUUCCAAACAGACAGGUGUGCAAUAUCAUCGACGUUCGUAAAAAUACAAACUCACAUACAUGAUAAAUGUACGCACACAUACAACCUAAUAUCAAACUAAUAUCAAAUAUGUGGAAAAUUGAGUUUCAAAGAUAAGCAUAAUUUUAACAAAAUAAUGAAUUGUGGAAAAAUUUCGUGAAAAGAAAAAAUGAAAAAAAUAAUAUAAAGGAAAAAUAAAAAUUAUAAUAAUUUCUAAAUAAUCUUAUUCGAUAAAUAAUGAUAUACGUCCAAGACAUAUCUGAAAAAUAUGAAGAAAUAAUAUUGUUGGUAUAAAAAAUAGGUGCAAAUAGCAGAAAAAAGCUAGCAAUUUACAACAAAAAUUAUGAGAAACGGAUUAUGAGAAAAAAAUUCGACGAACAAAAUUCAGCGUAAAACACGACAAUCUGA